UUGGUACCAUACUUAAUGACACGAAUGUAACACUGCAAGACAUGUAUCAUCGGCCCGAUUGAGGCUUUUAUGCAGCAGUCUCGGGCCGACCUGGCCAGGCCCGUCGGCACCGCUUGAUCGCCAUUUCCACUGCAUCACCAUCUUCAUACGAACUCUUCCAGUUCAGAGUCUUCUUAGUCUUCCUUCUCCAGAAUUCCAGUUCUUGCUGCUGCUUAACCAGCUGAAUGAUGCGGCUUUUGACCUUUCAAAUGGGCCGGUUGCUGAUGAGUGUGGCGAAGAACUUGGAGAUAUACUGUUAAAUUGGUUGAAAUCGUGGGAACAAGCAGAUACAUUGACAUCUAGGACUUUGGCGAGCAAACUGCUUCUGCUAGAGAGAGCUCUUUGGCUGAUAAUGCUAAAUCAGGCAUGAAGAAAACACUGGCUUCUUCAUGCUUAAUACAUGCUUGAGGGUCUGUCAUGAGCCUCAUGAUCAUGCAUUUGGUGAUUUAGCAUUGGGGAGGCGCUUAUCAUCUGCUGGAAGGAGGUUCCAGUCCAUGGGACCAUAUGGUCAAGGCAAACUUGCUAAGAUUGCAAAGAUAAUGAUUGCAACGGGAAAGCGUUUGGCUGCAACCCAAGUAUCUGCCGCAAUGGUUGAAGAACCUAAGAAGGAAGCCCGAACUUUUAAGUUUGGAGAACUUUAAGUAGAAGUUACAUCAGAUAAAGCCAACAUUGGGGCUGCUAUCGGUUUUUCAAUUAAGUAACUGAUGCUUUUUGUCACGAUUGAUUUUUUUGCCUAGUUAUAUUAGAUUGAAGAGUAUUAAAUUGAAAGCUACCGUUUAAAAUGCAGAAUUCUUUCAUGGCAACUAGCUCAAGGUGUUCAAAGCAUCCCCGAGAGCUCUUUGCAGUAUGCAAAUGAUAAUGCUUUGCUGCUGGCCAAGUCUCUAAGGGGUGCUCUACUUGCGACGGGCUAUUCAUCAGCUAUCUUGUCCACAAUCGCAUCCUUUGGCGUUCUUAUGCUUGCAAGACAGCUUAAAUCUGAGAACAAGUGACGUUGUCCUAGUUUUGUCCACGUUUUGCUUGUAGAUGACCAUUGACUUGAGGAAGAGCUGAACAUGACUGAAAAUGUAUUACUAUCGUCGGUAUGAAUCCAUGGGUUAUGGACACGUACUGAUAGAAUAUAUCAUUAUGUACAUUAACUUUUUGGGCAUGAAGAAUGCUU